rnacentral:rRNA from 1 species
AAGACCUUGCGCUUUUGGAGCGGCCGAUGCCUGAUUAGCUAGUUGGUGGGGUAAUGGCCUACCAAAGCUUCGAUCAGUAACUGGUCUGAGAGGACGGCCGGCCACACUGGGACUGAGACACGGCCCAGACUCCUACGGGAGGCAGCAGUGGGGAAUUUUGGACAAUGGGCGCAAGCCUGAUCCAGCCAUGCCGCGUGAGUGAAGAAGGCCUUCGGGUUGUAAAGCUCUUUCAGCCGGGAAGAAAAGGUUGCGAUUAAUAAUCGCAAUUUAUGACGGUACCGGAAGAAGAAGCACCGGCUAACUACGUGCCAGCAGCCGCGGUAAUACGUAGGGUGCGAGCGUUAAUCGGAAUUACUGGGCGUAAAGGGUGCGCAGGCGGUUUUGUAAGUCAGAUGUGAAAUCCCCGGGCUUAACCUGGGAACU